rnacentral:rRNA from 1 species
CGCCUUGCCAGCCCGCUCAGAACUUAAAGGAAGUUGACGGGGCCCGCACAAGCGGUGGAGUAUGUGGUUUAAUUCGAUGCAACGCGAAGAACCUUACCUGGUCUUGACAUCCCGGAGACCCUUAGGAAACUAGGGGGUGCUUCCAUCUGGAAGAAUCUGGAGACAGGUGCUGCAUGGCUGUCGUCAGCUCGUGUCGUGAGAUGUUGGGUUAAGUCCCGCAACGAGCGCAACCCUUGCCUUUAGUUGCCAGCAGUUCGGCUGGGCACUCUAAAGGGACUGCCGGUGUUAAACCGGAGGAAGGUGGGGAUGACGUCAAGUCCUCAUGGCCUUUAUGACCAGGGCUACACACGUACUACAAUGGCCGAUACAAAGGGCAGCGACACUGCGAGGUGAAGCCAAUCCCGUAAAAUCGGUCUCAGUCCGGAUUGGAGUCUGCAACUCGACUCCAUGAAGUUGGAAUCGCUAGUAAUCGUGGAUCAGCAUGCCACGGUGAAUACGUUCCCGGGCCUU